AUUGCUUUUGGAACUGUCAUGCUAGAGUGCAGGAGGGGUGAGCGGAAUUCCUAGUGUAGCGGUGAAAUGCGUAGAUAUUAGGAGGAACACCGGAGGCGAAGGCGGCUCACUGGACUGUAACUGACACUGAGGCUCGAAAGCGUGGGGAGCAAACAGGAUUAGAUACCCUGGUAGUCCACGCGGUAAACGAUGAAUACUAGAUGUCGGGUAGCAUAGCUACUCGGUGUCGUCGCAAACGCAAUAAGUAUUCCACCUGGGGAGUACGUUCGCAAGAAUGAAACUCAAAGGAAUUGACGGGGACCCGCACAAGCGGUGGAGCAUGCGGUUUAAUUCGAAGCAACGCGAAGAACCUUACCUGCUCUUGACAUCCCAUUCGAUAGAGGGUAAUGCCUCUAGCCCUUCGGGGGAAUGGAGACAGGUGGUGCAUGGUUGUCGUCAGCUCGUGUCGUGAGAUGUUGGGUUAAGUCCCGCAACGAGCGCAACCCUUAUUGUCAGUAGCCAGCAGGUGAAGCUGGGCACUCUGAUGAGACUGCCGGGGAUAACCCGGAGGAAGGUGGGGAUGACGUCAAAUCAUCAUGCCCCUUAUGAGCAGGGCUACACACGUGCUACAAUGGCGUAAACAGAGGGAAGCGAAGGAGUGAUCCGGAGCAAAUCUCAAAAAUAACGUCUCAGUUCGGAUUGUAGUCUGCAACUCGACUACAUGAAGCUGGAAUCGCUAGUAAUCGCAGAUCAGAAUGCUGCGGUGAAUACGUUCCCGGGUCUUGUACACACCGCCCGUCACACCAUGGGAGUCGGUAAUGCCCGAAGUCAGUGACUCAACCGAAAGGAGAGAG
rnacentral:rRNA from 1 species